rnacentral:rRNA from 1 species
ACUCAAAGGAAUAGACGGGGGCCCGCACAAGCGGCGGAGCGUGCGGUUUAAUUCGACGCAACGCGCAGAACCUUACCCGGGCUUGACAUGCGCCUGCAGAGCCGGGAAACCGGUUGGCCUUCGAGGGUGGCGCACAGGUGCUGCAUGGCUGUCGUCAGCUCGUGUCGUGAGAUGUUGGGUUAAGUCCCGCAACGAGCGCAACCCCCGCGGCCAGUUGCCGAUGUUUCUGGCCGGACUGCCGGUAGCAAGCCGGAGGAAGGUGGGGAUGAUGUCAAGUCAGCAUGGCCCUUACGUCCGGGGCGACACGCACGCUACAAUGGCCGGGACAGUGGGUUGCCAAGGCGCAAGCCGGAGCCAAUCCCCCAAACCCGGUCUCAGUUCGGAUUGCGGGCUGCAACUCGCCCGCAUGAAGGUGGAGUCGCUAGUAACCGCAGGUCAGCACUACUGCGGUGAAUACGUUCCCGGGCCUUGUACACACCGCCCGU